rnacentral:tRNA from 1 species
GCGAAUGUAGUGCAAUGGCUAGCAUCUCUGGCUUCCAACCAGAAGACACGAGUAUCUCCUACGGAGACGUUGCGCGAACGAGUCUCGUCUUUCGCUCCA